GAUGAACGCUAGCUACAGGCUUAACACAUGCAAGUCGAGGGGCAGCAUGGUCUUAGCUUGCUAAGGCCGAUGGCGACCGGCGCACGGGUGAGUAACACGUAUCCAACCUGCCGUCUACUCUUGGACAGCCUUCUGAAAGGAAGAUUAAUACAAGAUGGCACCAUGAGUUCACAUGUUCACAUGAUUAAAGGUAUUCCGGUAGACGAUGGGGAUGCGUUCCAUUAGGCAGUUGGCGGGGUAACGGCCCACCAAACCGACGAUGGAUAGGAGUUCUGAGAGGAAGGUCCCCACA
rnacentral:rRNA from 1 species